rnacentral:rRNA from 1 species
AAUGAACGCUGGCGGCAGGCCUAACACAUGCAAGUCGAACGGAUCCUUCGGGAUUAGUGGCGGACGGGUGAGUAACGCGUGGGAACAUACCCAAAGGUACGGAAUAGCCUCGGGAAACUGGGAGUAAUACCGUAUGUGCUGGAAAGAGGGAAGAUUGAUGGCCUUUGGAUUGGACCGCGUGUGAUAAGGUAGUUGGUGGGGUAAUGGCCUACCAAGCCGACGAUCCAUAGCUGGCUUGAGAGACUGAUCCGCCACACUGGGGCUGAGACACGGCCCAGACUCCUACGGGAGGCAGCAGUGGGGAAUCUUAGACAAUGGGGGAAACCCUGAUCUAGCCAUGCCGCGUGAUCGAUGAAGGCCUUAGGGUUGUAAAGAUCUUUCAGGUGCGAAGAUAAUGACGGUACCACCAGAAGAAGCUCCGGCUAACUCCGUGCCAGCCGCCGCAGUAA